rnacentral:lncRNA from 1 species
UCAAUUCUCAUUUUAGAAAUAGAAAAUUGAGGAUGUUUGGCUUUGGUAUUUACUCUCUGCUUUAUAUAUUGAAUCUCCAUUAUUCUAUUUUGAGAUGUUUAAGAAUCCAUUUAUCUUUUUUUUCAUAUAUUAUUUAAGUAACAUUCAACCAAAUAAAAAAUUAAAUGUAAUAAUUACUAUGUUAAAAUUAAAAAUUCAGUAAAAAGUAAAUGUUAUGAUUGUGUUUCCUUAAAAAUUAAAUUGAAUUCUCCGAAAAAGACCUUCAAUAUAGGACUAAGUGAAUAUAUAUUAAAACUUGAAUGCUUCGUUACGUUUAUGCUAUGGAAUGUUUAUAUUAUCACCCUCUCGAUAACCAUAGUAAUAUUCUUAUCUCACAUUAUUCUAACGAUGAACACAAAAUAAUAGAGACAAGUUUAGAGACGAUGUAUAGAAUUAAAAGGGUGAGAAAAUUUGCAAUAUUUAGUUAAUUUUUUUAAAUUCAAUUUUACAAAGUUAUUUUUCAAAAUUUAUUUGAUUGACUAUUGAAAACACGCUCUCUAUAAUUUUUUUCAAGAAAAAACUCAAUUUUUAGCAUAAAUUAAAAUAUACCAUAUUUAAACUGUCAAAAACCAUUCCCACUGGAGGAUAAAUAAUAUAUGUUAUCUAACACGUUUUCUCUGUAAUGUUGUCAACAAUAAUAUACGAAAAGACAAAGUAUAUUUAAGAGCCCCCACUAUGCUUGUGUUUCUCUCUCGUCGCAAUAAUUACUUAUUAAAGUACGAGAAAAGACAAAGUACACGUGAGAUAGGAAAACGACUACUCUAACAAUUUAGGUCUCAUUUGGCUGGAGGAUUUGGAGGGGUAUAAUUUUUUUCCCGGAUAACUUUUUUCUCGGAAUGUUUGGCUAGCGGAUAUGCCCCCGGAUAAGUUAUGCCCCCGAAGGUAGAUAAUUUUUGGGUUGCCUAGACCCCUAACUAAAAAUUAUCCGGGGGAUAAGGGAUACCGCCCCCCUCUCUCCCCCGCCCCCCCCUGUCUCCUUUCUCGUCUCCUCUAUCUACAUCUCUCAGCCCUGCCCACUCUUUUUCCUCUAUCCCUCUUUUCUCUUUUCUUUUCUCUCAUUCCUUUUCUUCCUUCCUCCUAACCUACCUUAUCCACUCAUUCUAAAAAAGUAUCCAAAACAAAAGUUAAAAGUUAUCCCAUCCAAAGUUAUCACCUCUAAAAAGUUUCCUCCCCUAAAAAUUAUGCUGCCUCCCUUAUCCUCAGCCAAACGGGCCCUUGGGGUAAGGUAAAUGUUACGUAGUACGUACCCCCACCAAUUGAAAUAACACCGACACCCAUAGUUAUGAAAACGGACGAACCGGCAGGUUCAACCGGUUCAAUCGAAACUGGGCACUAAAUCGGUUCGGACACAACAUUUUAUCGCAUCGGAAAAAUGCAAGCCAACCGGAUUGAACCGGUUUGAAUCGGCCGAUUUUUUUUUUUUAACAGAAAAAAUAAAGUUUUAAUUUUUACAGUUUGACCCAAAAAUUUUAAUUAAAGUUUUACUUUUUACAAUGACCCCAAAAUUUGAAUUAAAUUAUUUUUUUAAUCGUUUUCUAAAUUAAUUUUUACUAUGAAUGGGUAAUAAAAAAAUUUUUUUUUUUUUUAUAAUAAAAAUAUAAUUUUAUUAUAUUAAUUAUAAAUCCGGUUGAACCGUGGUUGUUUGAACCCAAGGGAACCGUGUGAACCAGUAUUUUGACCGGUUCAAUGUCCGGUUCGGUUCUGAUAACUAUGCCGCGACACCCCUUAAUAUCUGAAAAGGGUAAUGCUAUGAGUACAUUCAAUUUACACCCUAAAUGCAUAUUUGAUGAGGUGGAGUAUUUAAAUUGGUUGGGUGUGGGGUCCACACAGUCCUUUCACCCCACACAUAGCCAAUCUAAAUACUUCAUCUCAUCAGGGGUGCAAGUUGGAUGUACCAUAGCAUUUCUCAUAUCUGAAAACGGUAAAUUUUGACUGACCUCGCAUGAUAUUUUUGAAUCAAAAUCCAACACGUGUACAUUAGUCCAAUUCCUAUUUAAUGGGCUAUUGGGGCCAUAGCCCCUGCAUGUUUCCUCUCGCUGCAUCCACAUGGAGACUGAUCUAAUGUCCCUUUCUUAUCUGUCCUUUCUUUCUUUUUUCAUUAAUUCAAAAGAGGUGAUCAGAUGUGGCGCACCCAUUGUAAUACCAUGGGAGCGUCCCUGAGGGCUCACUACAAUCACAUAAUUUUUUUCAAAUUAUGUCUUAUUUAUUUUUGAAAUCACUCAGCCACAAAAUAUGUGGCUGUGGUGAGGCCACGGAGGGCGCUCCCAUGAUAUUAUCACGGACACGCACCUAUCUGAUCACCACUCUUAAUUUAAUGCGAUGCUCGGAAAAGGUACAAUGGAGUCUUACACGAAUCUCGUAAGUGUUUGCAAUAGUUUAUCUCCUUUAAUUCAUAAACCAUAUAUAAUACUUUAUAUACCGAAGGCAUUAUGAAAUCUAAAAUAUUCCUAAAAUUAUAAUUUAGGUUCGAGUCAAAAAAUUCACAACUACGACCUACAAGCUGAUGAGAUACCAACAUACAUACACCACAAUCAUAUGGUCCUCACUGAUCUCUCUUCUCGACGCCUACACAUGCAUUAUAUGCGCAUAAAAUAUUUGAAGUGUUAAACUAAUCCCAUAUCAAAUAGUUUUGGGAAUACUCCACCUCAUGCUAAUGAUCUUUACUUUACAAUAACAAUUUGUACUACUACAAACAAUUCGCCUUGCUAGAUGCAUUAAAUUGAACUUUCAAGUUCCAAAUUUCUAUUUUGGGAAUUAAAAAGCUUUUUUAAUUGUGCUAUCUGAAAUGACCUUUGGUUUUAACACAUGUAAUAAUUAAAAAAUAUCUUAGCUUUAUCGCCAAAUAUGUGUGUUGAUGAUAUUAUCUAGGGGUGUCUGAAAAUUUAAAAAAAAAACGAUAAAUCAGAUCAAACCAAAUUGGAUCGAACCGUAUGGCUGGUGUGGUCCGGUUCUACGAUUUAGAUUGUUUCAAUACUAAUUUUAAAAAAUAUUAAAUUGGUCUAUAUAGUUCAGUCUUAGUUCUUUAUUUCAGAAUUGUGGUUCAAAAUAAACUGGGCCUGUUUUGUUAAGAACAGAGUUCUGUAACUGGAAUUGAUAUUGCUGAUAGCUGGAAGAAGAAAGAAGAAAAUAGAUUUCCCUAUUCGAGCUAGGGAUAAAGCUCUUAAAAGAACCAAGUAAAGACGGAAUUUUUCAUUCCCUUCUGAAUCAAUGUUACAUUCUUUAUAUUGCUGGACGUUUGACAAGAAUUCAAGGAAUGAUAUCUAACAGUUUUAAACACUAACUGAAUUAACCCAUUCUUGAUAUUGCCCAUGCUUCAGUUAUCUGUUAGCAUAGUUAUUUUGCCAUGCUUUACAUCAUGUUCCUGUCUUUUAAGUCUUAAUCUUUCAUUCAUUCUGGCCUUUUGAUACUCCUUCUUGUUCUAUCAUCCGCUACAAAGCUGUUCUCUCCUACUACCACUGCAUUCGUAACAUGUUUACGUACAUACAUAGCGUGUAUGUGUAAGUUAAACCCAUCCUAACCUUCCUAAUUUAUUUUAUAUUGAGGUAUCAUUACUUAUUGUUUGAUGUUGUAUGAAUUUUUUGGGUUUUCGAUUUUUGCGGUUGUUAUGCUUAGUUUUUUCUAAAGUGGAAUGUUGUCAUGUUAUUUUAAAAUGUAGAUAGUUUAGAAUUUAAAUGUCAGGUAUAAAAUUUAGGAUGUUUGCCUGUGGCAUUUAUUCCAUUCGUCUCAUAGAACUUUUGUUAUUUUAGUUUGGAAUGUCCGAAAAUGUAUAUUCAAUUCGACAGUUAAUAACGAAAAUAUACAACUUUUCUCUUUUAGCCUUUUUUUUAUAAAUUAUUUAAGUAAUAUCAACCAAAACAAAAAAUUAAAUGUAAUAAUUACAGGGAUAAAAUUGGAGAGUCAAUAAAAAUUAAAUGUAAUAAUUAUAUUCCCUUAAAAAGGUUAACUCCCCGAAAUCACACUUCCGUUUGAGGUGGACGGAGUAGAUGUUAAAACUUGAAUGUUAUGUUUUGUUUAUACUGUGUUUAUGUUAUCGGUCUUAACAAUGAGGAUGAUAUUUUUGUCACACAUUAAUCUAAUAAUUAAUUCAAAAAAAAUAGAGAAAAGUUUGGGGACCUCGCAUAGAAUUAAAAGUGCGAGAAAAAAAUUGCAAUGUUUAGAGUAAAUUUCAAAAUAGUCCCUAUAAUUUUUUUUAACAUUGAUUUUGGUUCUUAUAUUUUUAAAUCCCAUGAUUUUAACCUUGUAUUUUAAUUUACAUGCCUAAUCAAUUUAAUUGAUAACCAAAGUUAAGUUGUUGGACAUAUUUUCAAUACAUUUUGAACAUAUGACUUCAUUUGAUGGCAAUUUAUAGUUGGAUUUAUCAAAUUAUAAUAGAAUUUAAGCAAUUUACAGUGAGAAUAGGAAAAAAGUUGAUUUUAUCACUCAAAUGAUGGUACAUGUCGGCCAAUAGUGAAAAUUCAUCCAAAAACAUAACAUUCAUGACCAAUUGGCUUAAUUAGGUGAGAAAAUCAAAAUAUAAAAUUAAAACCGCGGAAUUUUAAAAUACAUGGAUCAAAAUCUUGAAUGAAUAAAACUACAAUGACCGUUUUUGAAAUUUAAUCAUAUUUUAAGAUUCAAUUUGACGAAAUGUUUUUUUCAAAAUUUAUUUGGUUGAUGAUUGAGAACAUGCUCUCUAUGAAUUUCUCGAGAAAAACUCAUUUAUUAGCAAAAAUUAAAAUAGUAUUUAGUGACGGCAUAUAGAAUUAAGAGGGUGAGAGAAAAAAUGGCAAUGUUUAAUAAAUAUUUAUAAAAUUAUUUUAAUAUUUUUAAAAUUACUUUUGCAAAAUAAUUUUUAAAAAUUUAUUUGGUCGACGGUUUAAAACGUACUCUCUUUGAAUUUGUCGGGGGAAAAAAAUCUCAUUUUUGGAUAAAAUUAGAAGGGUAUAUUUAAGUUCUCAAAAACUAUUUCUGCUAAAAGAUAAAUA